UACGUAGGUGGCAAGCGUUUGUCCGGAUUUAUUGGGUUUAAAGGGUGCGUAGGCGGCCAUUUAAGUCAGUGCUGAAAUACUCUAGCUUAACUAGAGGGGUGGCAUUGAUACUGAUUGGCUUGAGUGAAGUCGAAGUAGGCGGAAUUGACGGUGUAGCGGUGAAAUGCUUAGAUAUCGUCAAGAACACCGAUAGUGAAGACAGCUUACUAGACUUCAACUGACGCUGAGGCACGAAAGUGUGGGGAUCAAACAGG
rnacentral:rRNA from 1 species